UACGUAGGGUGCGAGCGUUAAUCGGAAUCACUGGGCGUAAAGCGUCUGUAGGUGGUGAUGCAAGUCACUGGUGCAAAACUCUGGCUCAACCGGAGGAAAGCCAGUGAAACUGCAUGACUAGAGUGUGGGAGAGGUAGAAGGAAUUCCCUGAGUAGCGGUGAAAUGCGUAGAUACAGGGAAGAACACCGGAGGCGAAAGCGUUCUACUGGAACACAACUGACACUGAGAGACGAAAGCUAGGGGAGCGAAUGGG
rnacentral:rRNA from 1 species